rnacentral:rRNA from 1 species
CCUACGGGUGGCAGCAGUGGGGAAUAUUGGACAAUGGGCGAAAGCCUGAUCCAGCCAUGCCGCGUGUGUGAAGAAGGCCUUCGGGUUGUAAAGCACUUUCAGUGGGGAAGAAAGCCUUGGGGCUAAUACCCUCGAGGAAGGACAUCACCCACAGAAGAAGCACCGGCUAACUCCGUGCCAGCAGCCGCGGUAAUACGGAGGGUGCGAGCGUUAAUCGGAAUUACUGGGCGUAAAGCGCGCGUAGGCGGUCUGAUAAGCCGGUUGUGAAAGCCCCGGGCUCAACCUGGGAACGGCAUCCGGAACUGUCAGGCUAGAGUGCAGGAGAGGAAGGUAGAAUUCCCGGUGGAGCAGUGAAAUGCGUAGAGAUCGGGAGGAAUACCAGUGGCGAAGGCGGCCUUCUGGACUGACACUGACGCUGAGGUGCGAAAGCGUGGGUAGCAAACAGGAUUAGAUACCCCAGUAGUC